UAACGCGAAGAACCUUACCUACCCUUGACAUGUACGGAAGCCUGGAGAGAUCCGGGUGUGCUCGAAAGAGAGCCGUAACACAGGUGCUGCAUGGCUGUCGUCAGCUCGUGUCGUGAGAUGUUGGGUUAAGUCCCGCAACGAGCGCAACCCUUGUCAUUAGUUGCUACGCAAGAGCACUCUAAUGAGACUGCCGGUGACAAACCGGAGGAAGGUGGGGAUGACGUCAAGUCCUCAUGGCCCUUAUGGGUAGGGCUUCACACGUCAUACAAUGGUACAUACAGAGGGCCGCCAACCCGCGAGGGGGAGCUAAUCCCAGAAAGUGUAUCGUAGUCCGGAUUGUAGUCUGCAACUCGACUACAUGAAGUUGGAAUCGCUAGUAAUCGCGGAUCAGCAUGUCGCGGUGAAUACGUUCUCGGGUCUUGUACACACCGA
rnacentral:rRNA from 1 species